CUAUACAUGACUCUGUGCAUAUCAAUAAGCGGAGGAAAAGAAACUAACAAGGAUUCCCCUAGUAACGGCGAGUGAAGCGGGAAGAGCUCAAAUUUGAAAUCUUAAAGGGUUUCCCUUUACGAAUUGUAGUUUAAAGAAGUGUUUUCUGUUGAGGUUUUGGUAAAAGUUCUUUGGAAUAGGACAUCAUAGAGGGUGAGAAUCCCGUAUUUGACCUUUACUUUCAACUUUGUGAUACACUUUCAAAGAGUCGGAUUGUUUGGGAAUGCAGUCCAAAAUGGGUGGUAAAUUUCAUCUAAAGCUAAAUAUUGGCGAGAGACCGAUAGCGAACAAGUACCGUGAGGGAAAGAUGAAAAGAACUUUGAAAAGAGAGUUAAACAGUACGUGAAAUUGUCAAAAGGGAAGCGUUUGACACCAGUGUUGUUUUUCUGAAAAUCAAUUAAAGAACUGUUUAUGCUAAGCUGUUUAGACUUUAUCAGCUAACUGUUUAGUUUUGAGCUUUUCUUUAAUGCACUUUUCAGUUAACAAGUCAACAUCAAUUUCUUUUGCUGUAAAAAAGCUUGAGGAAGGUGGCUUGAGAUUCGUCUUAAGUGUUUAUAGCCUCUUGCCUAUGCAGUCGGAGAGAUUGAGGUCUGCAGCGUAGAUCCUUCGGGGCUAAAUGCAUUUGUGCUAAGUUAUAGCAUUUUAUAGACAACUUGUUGACUAUGAUUUAGUCUUGUAGCUUACUCGCAUAUGCUAUUUUACCUACGCUUAGGAUGUUGAUCUACAGAGCGAGAGU
rnacentral:rRNA from 1 species